rnacentral:misc_RNA from 1 species
GCCGAGUUUCGAGCCUGGACCGGCGUCGCGAGGACACUUCGAUCGAGCCUACUCGUUCUCGGGAAGGCAACCGGAUCAGAGUAGCAGGAUGUUCGCGGAGAAUCGGUUGUACGCGGAGUCGAGGAGCGUCGCCGCGGCCGCUGCUGCCUCGGAUCCGAAGAAGGAGAAGCUCGAGAGCAGACCCGCUUACGGCUCCUCCAAGAGCUUCGAUGGAUACUCGACCGCCGUGGAAGAGCUUAAUUGGCAGGAGAAGUGCCUCGAGCUGCAACUCGAGCUGCAUAGGAGCAGAAGCCAGGCCACCAGGGUGAGGGACAUGCUUCGCGAGAAGCUCUCGGAGCUCGAGCAGCGGGUCUUGGAAGCCGAGGGCCGAGCUGACGAGGCGGAGGACAAGGUACGGAUGAUGGAGGAGCGGCUAGUGAAGGGUGAAUACUGCUUGAGCACAUCCGGCGUUGGCUCUCCACCGCAUUCGCUGCCGUCAACUUCCGGUACGCAGAAUGACAAGAUCGAGGACGUUCACUGUGCUUGCAUCUCGAAGCUAGAAACACAGGUCGAGGAACAGAGACAGUUGCGGCUUCAAGACGCGAGGCAGGUAGAGGCGAAGGCCGCGAGGAUAAAGGAAUGGGUCACCAAUAAAUUGAGGGAAUUGGAGCAACAGAAUCAACAUUUAAGGGAACAGAACAACAAGUGCAACCAGCAAUUGGAGCUGCUGAGAAAUCACAUUACGAAUAUCGGCCUGAAACCACCUGCACCCACAAGAGCAUCCCUGUCCCUGGAAGUGGAUUCGACGUUACGAAGGCGAUCGGAGAGCCUCGAAGGAACACCGCAGGCGGUUCCGGAAAGCGUGCAGAGUGCCGUGGCGGAACCUCAGACAGGCACCAAGCAUCGAAGACACCUGUCCGCUUGUGGAACGAUACAGCGAGGAAUCACCGCCACCAACAUGGAUUCGAGCCUACUGUCCGAAGAGCUGGCGGCGGCCGUCGAGAAUCUGGUGAUGCUACCAAAUAUACCGGGUAUUUCGGAAACGAGCAGAGACAGCGGAAGCUCGGAAGCUGUCCACGAUUAUGCGGAGAUUUACACGCCUAGUAGAGAAGGGAUGAAUUGGGCUCAGAAUGCACAGGGUCCUCGACCGCCCACUCCACCCCUGCACCGAUUUCCCAGUUGGGAGGCUAAGAUUUAUCAGGUAGCAGACGGUGGGCUUGGCAUCGGUCCACCGACGAACGAGGAAUCCGCGCCUUCCACGAUGACCAACACGACAAGCUCAUCGAAACAUUCCCAAGCAACAGGACACAACCUGACUGCGCACAAUUCCCAAGGCUACUGCGAUAUUUCGGUUCCAGUCUACGCAACGGUCAAGGGACGAGCCAGUCAAAUCAGGUCCAUGCCAUUCGGCGACAGUUCCGACGACAGUUCAGAUGGCGAGGAACAUCCCAAUCAGACGGAGACGAACACCAGAAUCACCAACAGUUCGUCCGAUAACACGGAUUCGUCGCUGGGCAGCGGAAGCAGUCCGUCGAAGAGCGUGAAAACCACAAGCAGCCUUAGUCCUGCGAAGAGAAGCUCCAGCGGCUCUCCCAGCAAAAGCGUGAAACGUGAUACCUCGUUGGAAUCUGGCCUGUCGGAAGACUACGCGAUACCUCCUGACGCGCUCAGCUCGACUUCCCUCGAAUCUAGUAUGCCUAGCUUACUGAUGCGCGUUUCUGGCGAGAGUCCAAAACGCCAAGAAUCUCUGGAAAAGACUGGCCAUCUCGCGAAACUCGGUGGCAAACUGAAAACAUGGCGGAAAAGGUGGUUCGUACUGAAGAACGGAGUACUCACCUAUUGGAAGAGUCAGAACGACGUGAAUCGAAAGCCGCAAGGGCAGAUUGUGUUGGAUGAAGUGUGCAGGAUAAACAGGGCAGAAGGCGCAGCUACGUUCGAGAUAGCAACGGGCAAGAAGACGUAUUAUUUAACGGCAGACUGCAUAGCGACGAUGGAAGACUGGAUAAGAGUUCUGCAGAAUGUACAAAGGCGGAACGCGACGAAACUUUUGCUCAGCAAAGAGGACAACAAGCCAACGAUACAAGGCUGGUUAACGAAGGUGAAGAACGGGCAUGCCAAGAAGUGCUGGUGCGUCCUCAUCGGAAAAAUGUUCCUUUACUUUAAGUGCCCUAACGAUACGAAUCCUAUUGGACAAAUAAACAUGAGGGACGCCAGAGUGGAAGAGGUGGAGCACGUGUCCGACAGCGACAGCGAGGAAAGAGACGCCGAGUGUCCUCACGAAAGGACGAUUGGCAUCUUCCCCACUCAUCAAGGUCCUACGUAUUUGCUGAUGCCCCACAAACAGGAGAAAGAUAAUUGGCUGUACCACUUGACGGUCGUGUCCGGUGGAGGACCCAGCGCGGGAACCCAGUACGAACAACUGGUUCAGAGACUGAUGGAAACUGACGGAGAUCCUAGCUGUGUUCUUUGGAGACAUCCGUUGCUGCUCCAUACGAAAGAGAAUAUCACUAGUCCACUGACCAGCUUGACAUCCGAAGCCUUGCAAACCGAGGCCAUCAAGCUUUUCAAGGCUUGCCAAUUGUUCAUGUCGGUGGCAGUGGAGCAAGCAGGCAUAGACUACCACGUGGUAUUAGCGCAAAACGCGUUACAACAAUGCUUAGAUCAACCUGAACUGCAAUCUGAAUUCAUAUGCGCACUGGUAAAGCAGACAAGUCGUCACACGCAACACCGUUUGGGCGUACAGGUAAAAAAGGCCGCCAGACUUGUGUCGCUGGGUACUGCGCGCGUUCAGCUCCUCCUCUGCGCCACGCAAUCGCUGUUCACCUGCGAUACGCAAAGUCCCGCGGCAAAUGGCAGCGGUGAAAAUGCGGACGCACAAUCGACGGCCUCCACUUCUCACAGUCCUCCGCUCAUGCAGGGCCAUUCGACAUCUACGAUUCUGGACUGCAAAACUAAUCCUGCCCAGUACGUUCUUAUCCAGGGAUGGCAGCUGCUAGCACUCGCUGUUUCACUUUUCCUGCCGAGAAACAAUCGGCUACUGUGGUACCUGAAGUUACAUCUGCAACGAAACGCGGACACCAAAACGGAAUGUGGUAAAUAUGCAGCCUACUGCGAAAGAGCUUUGGAAAGGACGCUGCAGAACGGCGGAAGAGAAGUGAAACCAUCUAGAAUGGAAGUUCUUUCGAUACUAAUGAAGAAUCCUUACCAUCACUCCCUGCCCCAUGCGAUACCGGUUCACUUCUUAAAUGGCACGUACCAGGUUGUAAGCUUCGAUGGUAGUACAACGAUAGAAGAGUUUCUGAAUACCUUGAAUCAAGAAAUUGGUUGUCGAGAUGUUCAUCAGUCUGGUUUUACGUUGUUCAGUGAUGAUCCGAUCGAGAAGGAUCUUGAACAUUUCAUCGAUCUUCAAGCAAAACUGUGUGAUAUAAUCUCAAAAUGGGAAACUGCUUUGAGAGAGAAAGGGUCAGGGAAGUUUGAAAACACCAGAGUGAUACAGUUGACGUAUAAAUCGAGAUGUUAUUGGCGACAGGCAGCCAAGAUGGAGACCGACAGGGAGAGGCUGCUUCUGUGUUACCAAAUUAAUCAGCAGGUGGUGCAAGGCAAAUUCCCAGUGAACAGAGAUCUUGCAUUCGAGCUUGCAUCGUUAAUGGCGCAGAUCGAUUUUGGGGAGUAUAAUAACGACAAAGCACGAGGCAGUGGCCCAGGAAGUAAUCCUCAUCAUCUCGUGCUUCAAGCCCUGGACAAAUUUUAUCCUCUGCGAUACAGAACAAACAUUACUGCCGAACAAUUGAGGGAAAUGCAAGAAAAAUUGCAAGAAAAGUGGAUCGCCUUAAAAGGUCGCAGUGUAUUAGACUGCGUUCGCAUAUAUCUAACUUGCACCAGAAAGUGGCCUUUCUUUGGAGCUACACUUUAUCAAGCAAAGCUAAAACAAGCUGAACCAAUAACUGUUUGGAUAGCUGUUUCCGAAGACAGCGUAACCUUACUGGAAUUACAAACAAUGGCGGUGAUGUGUCGUUACAACUAUGCAAAUAUAGUCACGUUUGGAGGAUGUUUAGAUGAUUUUAUGCUUGUUGCUUGCCCUGACGAAGGUGCUGCAGAACAGAAGCUUUUGUUCGCACUUUCUAAGCCCAAGAUUCUGGAAAUAACUUUAUUGAUCGCCGACUACAUGAACGCCUUGGGACACGCUUUACCUGGAACUCCACAAAUGAACACGUUAACGCGCAAUGGGUCUCAUAGAUCUAUCAAAUCGACUCUAAGACCUACCACUGGUUCAAGCUGUCUUCCAACACAACCGGAUAUCUUAAAGUCGACACCAGACCACCAAAGACCUUAAAAAGACUGGUGCAUCAACUUCGAACAUAAAGAAGCAGGGGAAUACGUAGUUCUUGGUUUAUAACAGUUUAAUUCUACCAAGGCACUAAGUUUAAUACUCGAAGGUACUACCAAGCUGUACUAUAAAAACCCGUAUAAGAAACGAUACACUGGACGAUGCGCAGUUACAUAUUGCGCUGUAGUUGAUUUUAGUUGCAUUUUUGUGUAAAUUAGUAAUUGAAUGCUUACGAACGACGUUUAUGUACAUACCUGACAGCAUUGAAACUCUGUGGUCCACGUUAAAGCGGAUUAGAACGUGGUGACUGAAGUUAAUUGAAACGAUUUGCAACACUGCCUAAAGUAAAAUUAGUAUGUCUGAAUCACAUCGAAUAGAGUUUCAUUGAAAAAGCUAAGCAAUCAUUGCUGAAACUUUUUUGCUACCGUAUUUAUAUACCAAAUUCGAGACGUUUUAGAGUAAGUUAACUAAAGAAAAAGCGACGUACCACAUACUGUGUAUAUAAUUUAAUCAGAGUUAUUGGAUGUUUAGAAGUCUAGUGAGUGAUGGCAGCGAUACCUUUGUCUUCAAUAUGAGAGUACGAUGACGUAAAUUCUUACUUCUUGCCAAAUCGACCGCAGGCCACGUACGAGCUGCAAUAGAAAAGUGCAGCCAUGAACACCAAUGCACACUUGAUCGUUAUUACUUGAGAAUAAGAUUCUGGUAAAGGUUAUCGAAUUGAAAAGGACACUUUUGGGGAAUUAAAAGUUCCUGCUGACAAAUAUUAUG